rnacentral:rRNA from 1 species
CCUACGGGGGGCAGCAGUAGGGAAUCUUCCACAAUGGACGCAAGUCUGAUGGAGCAACGCCGCGUGAGUGAAGAAGGGUUUCGGCUCGUAAAGCUCUGUUGGUAGUGAAGAAAGAUAGAGGUAGUAACUGGCCUUUAUUUGACGGUAAUUACCUAGAAAGUCACGGCUAACUACGUGCCAGCAGCCGCGGUAAUACGUAGGUGGCAAGCGUUGUCCGGAUUUAUUGGGCGUAAAGCGAGUGCAGGCGGUUCAAUAAGUCUGAUGUGAAAGCCUUCGGCUCAACCGGAGAAUUGCAUCAGAAACUGUUGAACUUGAGUGCAGAAGAGGAGAGUGGAACUCCAUGUGUAGCGGUGGAAUGCGUAGAUAUAUGGAAGAACACCAGUGGCGAAGGCGGCUCUCUGGUCUGCAACUGACGCUGAGGCUCGAAAGCAUGGGUAGCGAA